AGGUCCCUACUAUAAAUAUUUUGGUCGACUGCUUCUCUUGCAGCUGACUCAAAUUGAGAUGGGAUGUCUGUGGAUCAUAGAAAAAGUUCUGGAGAUGGUGAAGAGAUGUCCAAGCAGAAUUGCCACAACCUUUGAUGGCAAGAAGCAGCUUAAGUUGUAGAAUCUUGGGCCUUUCUUCUGACCACUGUAAGCAUCAAGAGAACAAGAUAUUGCUUACAGAAAACUUAAGGCACAGCAAUGCUACCCAGCUUGAUUUAGCUUAAAGAAACCUUUCAUGACCUUAUAAACAAACAUAGCCCAGUGGGAACCCAAGUGGAA
rnacentral:lncRNA from 1 species